GAUGAACGCUGGCGGCGUGCUUAACACAUGCAAGUCGAACGAGAAGUGGAGACGGAACCCUUCGGGCGGAAGACUUUACUUCGAGUGGCGGACGGGUGGGUAACGCGUGGGUAACCUGCCUCAUACAGGGGGAUAACAGUUGGAAACGACUGUUAAUACCGCAUAAGACCACAGCACCGCAUGGUGCGGGGGUAAAAACUCCGGUGGUAUGAGAUGGACCCGCGUUCGAUUAGCCAGUUGGCGGGGUAACGGCCCACCAAAGCGACGAUCGAAAGCCGAUCUGAGAGGAUGACCGGCCACAUUGGAACUGAGACACGGCCCAAACUCCUACGGAGGCAGCAGUGGGGAAUAUUGCACAAUGGGGGAAACCCUGAUGCAGCGACGCCGCGUGAGUGAAGAAGUAUUUCGGUAUGUAAAGCUCUAUCAGCAGGGAAGAAAAUGACAGUACCUGAGGAAGAAGCCCCGGCUAACUACGUG
rnacentral:rRNA from 1 species